AGUCCACAUCGACGGGGAGGUUUGGCACCUCGAUGUCGGCUCAUCACAUCCUGGGGCUGUAGUAGGUCCCAAGGGUUGGGCUGUUCGCCCAUUAAAGUGGUACGCGGGCUGGGUUCAGAACGUCGUGGGACAGUUCGGUCCCUAUCCGUCGCAGGCGUAGGAAAUUUGAGAAGACCUGUCCUUAGUACGAGAGGACCGGGAUGGACGUACCUCUGGUGUACCAGUUGU
rnacentral:rRNA from 1 species